rnacentral:rRNA from 1 species
UAGGGAAUCUUCGGCAAUGGGGGCAACCCUGACCGAGCAACGCCGCGUGAGUGAAGAAGGUUUUCGGAUCGUAAAGCUCUGUUGUAAGUCAAGAACGGGUGUGAGAGUGGAAAGUUCACACUGUGACGGUAGCUUACCAGAAAGGGACGGCUAACUACGUGCCAGCAGCCGCGGUAAUACGUAGGUCCCGAGCGUUGUCCGGAUUUAUUGGGCGUAAAGCGAGCGCAGGCGGUUUGAUAAGUCUGAAGUUAAAGGCUGUGGCUCAACCAUAGUUCGCUUUGGAAACUGUCAAACUUGAGUGCAGAAGGGGAGAGUGGAAUUCCAUGUGUAGCGGUGAAAUGCGUAGAUAUAUGGAGGAACACCGGUGGCGAAAGCGGCUCUCUGGUCUGUAACUGACGCGUGAGGCUCGAAAGCGUGGGGAGCGAACAGGAUUAGAUACCCUGGUAGUCCACGCCGUAAACGAUGAGUGCUAGGUGUUGGAUCCUUUCCGGGAUUCAGUGCCGCAGCUAACGCAUUAAGCACUCCGCCUGGGGAGUACGACCGCAAGGUUGAAAC